AGAGUUUGAUCAUGGCUCAGAUUAAACGCUGGCGGCAUGCCUUACACAUGCAAGUCGAACGGCAGCACGGGGGCAACCCUGGCGGCGAGCGGCGAACGGGUGAGUAACAUAUCGGAACGUACCCCGUCGUGGGGGAUAACACAGCGAAAGCUGUGCUAAUACCGCAUACGACCUGAGGGUGAAAGCGGGGGAUCGCAAGACCUCGCGCGAUGGGAGCGGCCGAUAUCGGAUUAGCUUGUUGGUGAGGUAAAGGCUCACCAAGGCGACGAUCCGUAGCUGGUCUGAGAGGACGACCAGCCACACUGGAACUGAGACACGGUCCAGACUCCUACGGGAGGCAGCAGUGGGGAAUUUUGGACAAUGGGGGCAACCCUGAUCCAGCCAUUCCGCGUGAGUGAAGAAGGCCUUCGGGUUGUAAAGCUCUUUCAGCAGGAACGAAACGGUGGCCACUAAUACUGGCUACUAAUGACGGUACCUGAAGAAGAAGCACCGGCUAACUACGUG
rnacentral:rRNA from 1 species